rnacentral:rRNA from 1 species
UACGGAGUGUGCGAGCGUUACUCGGAAUCACUGGGCAUAAAGCGCACGUAGGCGGGUUUUCAAGUCGGUUGUGAAAUCCCUCAGCUCAACUGAGGAACUGCGACCGAUACUGUUUAUCUUGAGGACGAGAGGGGAGAGUGGAACUUCUGGUGGAGCGGUGAAAUGCGUAGAUAUCAGAAGGAACGCCGGUGGCGAAAGCGACUCUCUGGCUCGUAACUGACGCUGAGGUGCGAAAGCUUGGGUAGCAAACGGG